UGACACUCAGCCCGUUGCUCUCCUAGCCUAUUUCCUGAUUUCUGAAGAGGACCACCUCAUAGUGCACUGAAAUCAGAUGCCUGAUGCUGCCAGGGCAGCUGGACGCUCUGGGCCCUGAGGCACUCAGACCCCAGGGGCUGGGCUGGCCCGCUGUCCUCUCCUUCCUCUACUUGGGUUCAGCGUUCUCUCCUUCCUUCUGCAAAGAGAACUUCGAGUUACUUCCCUUAUCUCCAUUCAUGGAGAUACCUUUUACAAGGGGAGGGGAGGUGGGCAGGACAAGGGAAUACUUCUCUCUCCCCCAGGACACCCCAGCAUUCGAGACAGAGGGAGGAGCUCACUUUGUAACCAGUGGUGGGGCUCUGGGAUUGGAGGUGCCCUCACUGCCCUGUUGUCAGAAUUUACAGAAAUAAAGAGGAUGGGGCUGCGUGGGCCUGUGCCUGCCUCCUCUUCAUCACAGCUGUGGCCCAGGAGGAGGGGUGAGGGAUGAGUACUCCUGAAAAAAGACCCGAGUGUCUCUCAGCAGCCCAGUGCUGUUCUCAAGCCUUCGUGAACUGGCCCUGAGGUUGGCCUCGUUACACUUCUGAUGACACAGGGCCUGGAGCGUGACAGUAGACAGGGCAGGGUCUUACUUUUGCCAUGUUAGCUGCCUGCCCUGACCAGAAAGAGGGCUGCAUUCCCAUCAGACUUACAGAAAAUCUCUCACUCUCAUCAUUUUCUAUUUCAAGCAACUGCAGACAAGGCAGUUUUGGAGGCAGCUCCAAAGGCUCAGGUACUGGGAGCUGGUCACUGCCUGAGCCUUGGGUGGAAGGGCUAGCUGGGUGGGGUGAUGGGAGGGGCAGCACAGGGCCCUGAGGCAGGGGAGGGGAAGGUGACACUGAGAAGCCUGGCGUCCUGCUUUGUGCUCCUAAACAGGUCACUCCUCAUUCCUGCUCAGCUGUGGUUUUCUCUUCUGCUGGGUGAGGCGCUGGCGCCAGCACCUGGGAUGCUCACCUGCACCCAUGGGUGCACACGUGUGUGUGCAUUCACUUCCCUGGCCAUGCUGUCCAUAUACGGGUGCAAACAGGUUCUGAGUGUGCAGGGACAGGUCUGCUUCAGGGCAGGCUCACCUUUAUGUGGCAUGGGGAGCCAGGAACUUGCCUGACCCCUCUGAGGUCAGACAAAGGACCCCAGAGAUCAGAGCUGAGAAGUCCUAUCUUCUGAUUAUGGGCAAACAGAGCCCAAAGAGGGUAGGGGUUUGGUUCAGGGCUUAGGCCUUCUGGCCAGGGCCACCCCUGAGGUUAAGAGUAGCUCUAAUUUUAAAAGGUCAAACCCAAGGUCCCUCCCGGCAUGUGUGUGGGAAAGAGUUUAUCAAGUGUCUGGGCAGCAGGGGGCAUGGGGAGAACAUAUUGUUGGCAAGGAGUCAUCCCUAUCACCUUAUGGCUAUACCUAUAGUUUUAUAGUUAAUAAAUCCGGUCACUUAAGUGGUCAUGUUUCACCCCAUAAGAAUCACAGGCAGAGUUGUCCUAAGUGUUGCUAAGUGUCCUAAGAGUUGCCCAGCCUUUGGUAGAGGGAAACCCAGGAUCAUGUAACUUAAGAAGAGGAAUUAAGACUAUAACAUAACAUUUAAAAUGAGACAAACUUUAGUUCACAAAAGGAUAAAUUUUUGAUGCUUACAGCUAUCUAAUAGAGCAAUAGCCUGCUUUGUUAAGUGGGGAGUUCCUCAUCCCUGGGGGUAUAUAACUAGUGUCUGGGUAUUUGCCUUGUGUGGU